GGGUCAAUGAUGAGAACCUUAUAGUGUCCUGAAGAGAGGUGAUGACUUAAAAAAUCAUGCUCAAUAAGUGCAGCAGGCCC